AUGGCCCCGCUCGAAUAUGUAAUUGAGCCUAAAGAUGUGCAGGUAAAUGAUAUACCCGCAACUCAUCGUUCAUUGUCUUUUGAUGUUACUGGGGCUAACUCUGCUCAGGUUGUGGAGGUGGAUGGUGACGUAUACCCAGAUCUGAAGACCUCAAGUGACUACAUGGUACAACUUCCUCUUUCUGAUCACAACGAUGAGAUCAUCCUCACACCUCCCCUUGCGCCUGAAGUGGCUCUAAGAUUCAGCAAGCGCAAUACGCAGGGGGGACAGGAGCAUAUUGAAGCUAAAGCUAUUAACCUGGCUCAGAAGAAGAACUUGGAAGGUAACAUCAGUAUAUCUUGCAAGAAUUCUUUCGGUGCUCUUUCUGAUAAAGAAUUAAUGUAUAGAGCCACUUGUAUGGGGGUCAAAAUACCUGAUAAUGAUUUUACAUGUGUGAAUGUGCUUAGAGAGUUGGAUAGGGUGAAAGAAAAUCUAGAUAGUAAAAAGAAUAUUGGGGACAAUAAUACUGAUAUUGAGGAUGAUAUUUUAGUUACCAAUGGACUAGGAAAACCCGUUCCUGCUAACUUGACCUGGCUUGACCAAGAUGAAACUGUAUUUGAACAAAAAGCCUCUGGUAAACUGAAGAAUAGGAGACAUAAAAAGAAAUCUGCCAUUAAGCUCUCUAGGCCUGUGACUAGGAACCAGAAUAAGGCAGUAUCCUCUGAAGAUGUGUGUUGUAGUCCUGCAUUGCCUCCUGGCAGGACUACUAGAUCUUAUUUUCACAAAAAACGUUCCAAAUGA
rnacentral:rRNA from 1 species